rnacentral:rRNA from 1 species
AGUCGAACGCGAAAGGCCCCUUCGGGGGCCGAGUAGAGUGGCGUCCGGGUGAGUAACACGUAGGUAAUCUACCUCCGGGUGGGGAAUAACGACCGGAAACGGUCGCUAAUACCGCAUAAUGCAGCGGCACCACAUGGUGACAGUUGUUAAAGCGGGGGAUCGCAAGACCUCGCGCCUGAAGAGGAGCCUGCGGCGGAUUAGCUAGUUGGCAGGGUAACGGCCUACCAAGGCGACGAUCCGUAGCCGGCCUGAGAGGGCGGUCGGCCACACUGGCACUGACACACGGGCCAGACUCCUACGGGAGGCAGCAGUCGGGAAUUUUGGGCAAUGGGCGCAAGCCUGACCCAGCAACGCCGCGUGAAGGAUGAAGCUUUUCGGAGUGUAAACUUCAUAAGAAUGGGACGAAUAAAAGAGGGCUAACACCCCUUUUGAUGACGGUACCAUUUGUAAGCUCCGGCUAACUCCGUGCCAGCAGCCGCGGUAAUACGGGGGGAGCAAGCGUUGUUCGGAUUUACUGGGCGUAAAGGGCGCGUAGGCGGCGCAACAAGUCGCUUGUGAAAUCUCCGGGCUUAACUCGGAGCGGCCAAGCGAUACUGUCGUGCUAGAGUGCGGAAGGGGCUACUGGAAUUCUCGGUGUAGCGGUGAAAUGCGUAGAUAUCGAGAGGAACACCUGCGGCGAAGGCGGGUAGCUGGGCCGACACUGACGCUGAUGCGCGAAAGCCAGGGGAGCGAACGGGAUUAGAUACCCCGGUAGUCCUGGCCUUAAACGAUGGAUGCUUGGUGUCCGGGGUUACAUAGUCCCCGGGUGCCGGCG